rnacentral:tRNA from 1 species
CUUGUGGUCUAGUGGUUAGGAUUUGGUGCUUUCGCCACCACAGCCCAGGUUCAAUUCCUGGUUAG